AUUGAACGCUGGCGGCGUGCCUAACACAUGCAAGUCGAACGAAGUUAGGGAGCUUGCUCCUUGGCUUAGUGGCGCACGGGUGAGUAACGCGUGGAUGAUCUACCCAGAAGAUCGGGAUAACAGUUGGAAACGACUGCUAAUACCGUAUACGCUACCAUUUCAUCUUGGUAGGAAAGGCGGCCUCUGAAUAUGCUGUCGUUUUUGGAUGAGUCCGCGUUUCAUUAGGUAGUUGGUGAGGUAAUGGCUCACCAAGCCUGCGAUGAAUAGCCGACCUGUGAGGGUAAUCGGCCACACUUGGGCUGGAACACGGCCCAGACUCCUACGGGAGGCAGCAGUUGGGAAUAUUGCGCAAUGGGCGAAAGCCUGACGCAGCGACGCCGCGUGAGGGAUGAAGGCCUUCGGGUCGUAAACCUCUGUCAGGAGGGAAGAACCGCUAUGGGAGUAACUGCCUGUAGUCUGACGGUACCUCCAAAGGGAGCACCGGCUAACUCCGUGCCAGCCGCCGCGGUAA
rnacentral:rRNA from 1 species